GAUGAACGCUAGCGGCAGGCUUAACACAUGCAAGUCGAGGGGCAACACGGGUAGCAAUACCUGGUGGCGACCGGCGCAAGGGUGCGUAACGCGUGAGCAACAUGCCCUAUACAGGGGGAUAAUCCAGGGAAACUUGGUCUAAUAUCCCAUAGUAUUUAGAGGUGGCAUCACCACUAAAUUAAAGCUUCGGUGGUAUAGGAUUGGCUCGCGUGACAUUAGCUGGAUGGUGGGGUAACGGCUCACCAUGGCGAUGAUGUCUAGGGGUUCUGAGAGGAAGACCCCCCACACUGGGACUGAGACACGGCCCAGACUCCUACGGGAGGCAGCAGUGAGGAAUAUUGGACAAUGGAUGGAAAUCUGAUCCAGCCAUGCCGCGUGCAGGAAGACGGCCCUAUGGGUUGUAAACUGCUUUUAUAUGGGAGCAAUAAGGUUUACGCGUAGACCGAUGAGAGUACCAUAUGAAUAGCAUCGGCUAACUCCGU
rnacentral:rRNA from 1 species